AUUGAACGCUGGCGGCAGGCCUAACACAUGCAAGUCGAACGAGUGGCGGACGGGUGAGUAAUGUCUGGGAAACUGCCCGAUGGAGGGGGAUAACUACUGGGAACGGUAUCUAAUACCGCAUACCCACGGAUGUUCCCGGCGGGGAUUAGCUAGUAGGUGUGGUAACGGCGAACCUAGGCGACGAUCCCUAGCUCGUCUGAGAGGAUGACCAGCCACACUGGAACUGAGACACGUGCGAGACUCCUGCGGGAGGAAGCAGUGGGGAAUAUUGCACAAUGGGCGCAAGCCGGAUGCAGCCAUGCCGCGUGUAUGAAGAAGGCCUUCGGGUGGUAAAGUACUUUCAGCGAGGAGGCGUUAAUCGCAGAAGAAGCACCGGCUAACUCCGUGCCAGCCGCCGCGGUAAUAC
rnacentral:rRNA from 1 species